GAGAUUAUAGCUCAGUGGUAGAGUGUGUGCCUAGCAUGUUCGAGGUCCUGGGUUCAAUCCCCAGUAUACCUC
rnacentral:tRNA from 1 species